rnacentral:misc_RNA from 1 species
AUUUAUGAUACACUAGCUGUGCCCGCGGCUUCGCCCGCGUUUAAAUCAGUUCGUCACAAAGUUUUCCCGGUAAACUUCCUAUGAAACUCUCAUCAAAAUCGGCUUAGCCGUUCCGUAAACUUUCCUCUUGAAACCCUCUCUCCAUUGGUGAAACCGCAUGAAAAUCCGUUCAGUAGGUUUUGAGGGAAUCGAUCACAUACGCUUUUGGGGACUUUGUUUUAUAAUACACUAACUGUUGCUCGCGACUACGUCCGGGUGGUUAUGAAGAUAUGCAUUACUAUUAAGAUGUUUAACGCAAUUUUUUUUUAUUUUAGUCACUUAAAAUGCUUAUCAAACUGAGUAACUUUUUAAAAGGCACAAUUUAGUAUAAUUUAAAAGUUAAUUUUAUAAAACCUCUCUAUACACCACAUUUUUAAUUUUCAUACAAACUAUCAACCCCAAUUAAACCUCCUUAGCGGUCAAAUAUCGUAAAAUCCGUUCUUAGCGGACGUCUGCUAACUAUAAUCUACCUCCCUGCCAAAUUUUAUCUUUGUCCAACCUGGAUGGAUAGACCAUCCAGCGGUUUUUGAGUUCUCGUGAUGAGUGAGUUAGUGACCUUUCCCUUUUAUAUUUCUAGAUUACGAUGCAUUAUUUGGACACCUCCUCACCAUCUAUAGAUCACACAUUUUAAAUUUCAAGUCUCUUACUUCAAAAACAUAGGACUUUCAUAUAAACUUCCAACCCCCGUUUUAUCCGCUUAGGGGUCGAGUUUCGUAGAAUCCGUUCUUAGCAGAUGUCUACGCCCUACCUACCUGCCAAAUUUCAAGUUUGUAGCUGUUAUAGUUUCAAAGAUUUCGUGAUGAGUGAGUCCACCUACCUAACCUCGUUUUAACCCCAAAAGGGAGUUGAUUUCUAAAGAUACAUUAUUUGGACACCUUUUCACCACCUAUAGACCUUACAUUUUAAAUUUCAAGCCUCUUAUUUUAAAAACAUAGCACUUUCAUACAAACUUGCAACCCCCGUUUUACCCCCUUAGGGGUCGAGUUUUGUAAAAUCCGUUCUUAGCGGAUGCCUACGUCUUAUAAGGAGCCUACCUGCCAAAUUUCAAGUUUGUAGGUGUUAUAGUUUCGGAG